rnacentral:rRNA from 1 species
GACGGAGGAUGCAAGUGUUAUCCGGAAUCACUGGGCGUAAAGCGUCUGUAGGUGGUUCAAUAAGUCAACUGUUAAAUCUUGAGGCUCAACUUCAAAAUCGCAGUCGAAACUAUUGGACUCGAGUAUAGUAGGGGUAAAGGGAAUUUCCAGUGGAGCGGUGAAAUGCGUAGAGAUCGGAAAGAACACCAACGGCGAAAGCACUCUGCUGGGCCGACACUGACACUGAGAGACGAAAGCUAGGGGAGCGAAUGGG